AUUGAACGCUGGCGGCAGGCCUAACACAUGCAAGUCGAACGAGUGGCGGACGGGUGAGUAAUGUCUGGGAACCUGCCCGAUGGAGGGGGAUAACUACUGGAAACGGUAGCUAAUCCCGCAUACCAUCGGAUGUGCCCAGAUGGGAUUAGCUAGUAGGUGGGGUAAAGGCUCACCUAGGCCACGACCCCUAGCUGGUCUGAGAGGAUGACGAUCCACACUGGAAAUGAGACAAGGUCCAGACUCCUACGGGAGGCAGCAGUGGGGAAGAUUGCACAAUGGGCGAAAGCCGGAUGCAGCCAGGCCGCGUGUAUGAAGAAGGCCUUCGGGUUGUAAAGUACGUUCAGCGGGGAGGCGUUACCCGCAGAGGAAGCAACGGCUAACUCCGUGCCAGCAGCCGCGGUAAUUC
rnacentral:rRNA from 1 species